rnacentral:rRNA from 1 species
GGUGAACGCUGGCGGCGUGCUUAAGACAUGCAAGUCGAACGGCAGUCUUCGGACUGUAGUGGCGCACGGGUGAGUAACGCGUAACUGACCUACCCCAAAGUCGCGGAUAACGAUUCGAAAGAAUCGCUCAUACGUGAUGUGCUGUCAGAUCGUGUUCUGCCAGUAAAGAUUGAUUGCUUUGGGAUGGGGUUGCGUUCCAUCAGCUAGUUGCUGGGGUAAAGGCCCACCAAGGCGACGACGGAUAGCCGGCCUGGGAGGGUGGCCGGCCACAGGGGCACUGAGACACGGGUCCCACUCCUACGGGAGGCAGCAGUUAGGAAUCUUCCACAAUGGGCGAAAGCCUGAUGGAGCGACGCCGCGUGAGGGAUGAAGGUCUUCGGAUCGUAAACCUCUGAAUCAGGGACGAAAGACACUUCGGUGGGAUGACGGUACCUGAGUAAUAGCACCGGCUAACUCCGUGCCAGCCGCCGCCGUAACAC